UCGCGGCUUAUCACCGGCAGUCCCCUUAGAGUGCCCAACUGAAUGAUGGCAACUAAGGGCGAGGGUUGCGCUCGUUGCGGGACUUAACCCAACAUCUCACGACACGAGCUGACGACAGCCAUGCAGCACCUGUGCAGGAUCUCCGAAGAGGGGCUCUCGUUUCUGAGAGCUUGCUCCUGCAUGUCAAGCCUAGGUAAGGUGGGGAUGACGUUUCCUCAUGCGUU
rnacentral:misc_RNA from 1 species